rnacentral:rRNA from 1 species
UUCCAGACUCCUACGGGAGGCAGCAGUGGGGAAUAUUGCACAAUGGGGGAAACCCUGAUGCAGCGACGCCGCGUGAGCGAAGAAGUACCUCGGUAUGUAAAGCUCUAUCAGCAGGGAAGAAGAUGACGGUACCUGACCAAGAAGCCCCGGCUAACUACGUGCCAGCAGCCGCGGUAAUACGUAGGGGGCAAGCGUUAUCCGGAUUUACUGGGUGUAAAGGGAGCGUAGGCGGUUAGAUAAGUCUGAUGUGAAAGCCCACAGCUUAACUGUGGGAUUGCAUUGGAAACUAUAGAACUAGAGUGUCGGAGAGGUAAGUGGAAUUCCUAGUGUAGCGGUGAAAUGCGUAGAUAUUAGGAGGAACACCAGUGGCGAAGGCGGCUUACUGGACGAUGACUGACGCUGAGGCUCGAAAGCGUGGGGAGCAAACAGGAUUAGAUACCCCGGUA